rnacentral:rRNA from 1 species
GAACGAGAAAGUGGAGCAAUCCAUGAGUAAAGUGGCGACCGGGUGAGUAACACGUGACUAACCUACCUUUCAGUGGGGAAUAACCUCGGGAAACCGGGGCUAAUACCGCAUAAUGUCUAUGGACCAAAGGAGCAAUUCGCUGGAAGAGGGGGUCGCGGCCGAUUAGCUAGUUGGCGGGGUAACGGCCCACCAAGGCAAUGAUCGGUAGCCGGCCUGAGAGGGCGCACGGCCACACUGGAACUGAAACACGGUCCAGACUCCUACGGGAGGCAGCAGUGGGGAAUUUUGCGCAAUGGGGGAAACCCUGACGCAGCAACGCCGCGUGGAGGAUGAAGCCCCUUGGGGUGUAAACUCCUUUCGAUCGGGACGAUUAUGACGGUACCGGAUGAAGAAGCACCGGCUAACUCUGUG